rnacentral:rRNA from 1 species
GACGUAGGGCGCGAGCGUUAGGCGGAAUCACUGGGCUUAAAGCGUGUGUAGGCGGAUGCCUAAGUACCUUGUGAAAUCCCACGGCUCACCCGUGGAACUGCUCGGUAUACUGGGUGUCUUGAGCCACUUAGGGGCUACCGGAACAAAUGGUGGAGCGGUGAAAUGCGUAGAUAUCAUUUGGAACGCCAAUGGUGAAAACAGGUAGCUGGGAGUGUGCUGACGCUGAGACACGAAAGCCAGGGGAGCAAACGGG